rnacentral:rRNA from 1 species
GACGAACGCUGGCGGCGUGCUUAACACAUGCAAGUCGAACGGAAAGGCCCUGCUUUUGUGGGGUGCUCGAGUGGCGAACGGGUGAGUAACACGUGAGUAACCUGCCCUUGACUUUGGGAUAACUUCAGGAAACUGGGGCUAAUACCGGAUAGGAGCUCCUGCUGCAUGGUGGGGGUUGGAAAGUUUCGGCGGUUGGGGAUGGACUCGCGGCUUAUCAGCUUGUUGGUGGGGUAGUGGCUUACCAAGGCUUUGACGGGUAGCCGGCCUGAGAGGGUGGCCGGCCACAUUGGGACUGAGAUACGGCGCAGACUCCUACGGGAGGCAGCAGUGGGGAAUAUUGCACAAUGGGCGGAAGCCUGAUGCAGCAACGCCGCGUGCGGGAUGACGGCCUUCGGGUUGUAAACCGCUUUCGCCUGUGACGAAGCGUGAGUGACGGUAAUGGGUAAAGAAGCACCGGCUAACUACGUG